rnacentral:rRNA from 1 species
AGUGCGGAAUAGCUCAGGGAAACUUGAGGUAAUACCGUAUGAGCCCGAAAGGGGAAAGAUUUAUCGCCAUUGGAUGGGCCCGCGUAGGAUUAGCUAGUUGGUGAGGUAAUGGCUCACCAAGGCGACGAUCCUUAGCUGGUUUGAGAGAAUGACCAGCCACACUGGGACUGAGACACGGCCCAGACUCCUACGGGAGGCAGCAGUGGGGAAUAUUGGACAAUGGGCGCAAGCCUGAUCCAGCCAUGCCGCGUGAGUGACGAAGGCCUUAGGGUUGUAAAGCUCUUUUGGCGGGGACGAUAAU